CAAUCUCAGAACAAAGGCGAAUGUAGCCGGAAAGAUGUGAAGGUGCUGAACACACAGAUGGGGUGGACUGGCUGGACAUACCGGACUCCCCUGACCUGGCUCAGUGAUCUCCACUUCAGGACUCCACUGCAUCUAUGCUUAGGAACUGUGAUAAACACUGCCCUUGGAUGUUUUCACUGGCUACUCCCACAUUUCCAUUGCAAUACCAGACUCUGGGCUCUAAAUCAGUUCCUUCUUUCAUCUCCCCUCUCAUCUCUUUACUCACCUGGUAACAGCAUCCUGCUUGUAAGGGAUCUUGGUUGGGCAGCUCCAGAAGGAGCCCUGUCUCCCCUUAAACUUUUUCAAAAGCACUCCGCCCAACACAACCAGCACAUUCUAAUUCAGGGAUCCAAAAAAACCACUGGGCCCUGUCUUAGGCCCAUGCCCUGACCCUGUCCCCCACCUCCUACCUCUGUUCCCAAAC
rnacentral:lncRNA from 1 species